rnacentral:lncRNA from 1 species
CCACAGGAAGGCAGACAAUGAGUUCCAUCGUCGCCAGAAAACCUUGGUAGGAACCCUCCGCACACGAACUCCACAAAAAAGGAUCUCGGAGCGGCAUUCAAACUCGUCUUCAUCCUAAUACUCGAAGCUGCUAAAGGAAGGUUUGGGAAGAUCGAUGCAUGUGAGUCCGAAUCGGGAAUCGGUUUGGGAUCCGGGUCUGGUAGGGAUGGAUCAGGGAAGGUGAGUCGGGUUGGGAUGCGGUGGUGAGGAAAGGGCGGAGGCGAGUCGGAAGAGGGAGUGAGGAGUAGUCGUCGUUGUCCUCAUUUAUUUCGUCGCCGUAGCCUUCGAAUUGGGAGUCGGCGACGUGGAGGGAGGAGGGAGAGAAAGAGCGGUGGGAGAAGAUGAAGAGGAGGAUAAGUGCUUUCAUCUUUAUCUUCUUUCAUUUUUAAAGUACAAUUGUAUAAUUGUAAACGUGUGUUGGUUGUUCAAGUGCCAUGGAUACAAAUUAGCAGGUCCCUGUCACUGCUGUUAAUGGUUAAGCUUGUAGUUUUCCUUGUGGUUGUUGGAAUGGGAAGGUAGAAAUGGGAAUUUAUGCUCCUUUAGUUUAUUUCAAUUAAGUCACUUUUAGAAUUAACAAUUACCAUGCAUCCAAUUCUAGGACUGUAUUUUUACUUGUUGGGGAGUUGAGUUUUUUUAUACAGUUUGUAAGUGACCCCACUUCACAUACUCUGCAAGUAGCCAAAUUUGGUAAUGAAUUUUUAUAGGCAAGUCAGAUGCUUUGUCAAACGAGAACUCAAAGACAGAUAGUAGAAUUGAUAUAUAAAAUUAAUGAUGUUUUUUGUAUGUUCUUAGGGUGCACUCCUUGUCCAAUGAUGUGUAAUUUUUGUUACAUAAACAAAAGGCUUCUCUCUUCUCAAAAAUAAUAAUCCAAAAGUUUUAUGUGAUCCUUUGAUUGCAUUUGUAUCCAAUAUUUUUAAAUCCCACGGUGUGUUCAAACUGAGUAGAUUUGUUGGACAUUCUUCGUCUUAAGACGAGUCAGACUUAUAUUAUGGGUGAGAAGCAAAAUUCAUUUGAUGAAUUUGAAUUUAGCAGUCUCUAGAUUGCGUCUUAAUAACUUAAUGGGCUGAAUGAAUUGGCAUCUACUUGCAGAUUCUGCACAUCAGCUUGUUAGUCUUUAAUGCUCUUGCGAUAAAGGGCGUUUCAGCUCUCUGGUGGUAGUCGAUCAGUGUUUUCCAAGAAAGAAAAUGUCAAUGCAGUUCUCCUUGUUGCAAGCCAGGUGAGACAUAUGUACAUCUAUCCUCUCAAAACCUUGCACGUUUCUUUUUCUUUCUAAAGUUUACUUUGACUGACCACUAUGAAAUAUGUUUGCCCUCCAACUGUUGAACUUCCCAUCCUUGGUGAAAAUGUGACUUGGUCUGCAAUCUCUUGUAGGCCAAAAUGACAUUAUUUAGGAUAAUUAUCAACUUUUGUCGUUGCAGGUAGCAAUUUACUACAAAGAAGUAUCAACUUUUGUCUUGCUUAUCCACUUACUGAUGUGCAGAAUUUCAAGGUAAUGUGAUGUUCUUAUAGUGGAAAAACUUAUAUUUCAAUUGCAUACUAUUGGAGGUUCUAUUCUUAUGUAAUUAACUUGUUUUACAUUACUAUAAUCAUUAAAUUAUUGAGUUUACUAAUGUUGUUGUGUAGGAGGAUAGGGAAAAACUAUUUGAAGGAAAACUUAAACAGAAAUGGAAGAUCUUCUCCUGAUGACCAUCUUCAUUAAUUCGUUUAUGGAGCAGCAGAGAUUCGAUGAGAUGCAAGGCUUGCUGGGGAAGAUGCAUCAAUCUAAAAAUGUCUGCUUUCAAGUUCUUUUUGCAUUAGAGAUGAAAUAUGUAAUAUUACAAUAUAUGUUUCUGAGAUUGAGAAUGUGUUGUAGGCUUUCUACAUUUUAUGAAAAUUAAAAAAAAUAAUACCUCAAUUCAGUUUCAGUUUUUUAAAUUUUGAUUUUUUUUAUAUUUAAUUCUUAUUGGCACAAUUAUAAUAUAAGUGUUAAUAUGGUUGGAAAAGGUUUUCUGAUAAAGUUGUCAGAAACAGGCACAAAUAGUGGUCCAUUUGUGCCUACCUCUUUGAGCACCAAACAAUCUAUUGUGCCCUUUUAGCAAAGGCAACGUCCAUAGAGGGCACAAAUACAAAUAUAGUUGAUGCAUUGUUGCUAUUGGUCUAUGGGCACAUUUGUUGGUGCUCUUUGGCCUCAAAGGGCACAUAUAAUUUAUUGUGUGUAGUGGCCAUAUUUUUUGUAGUGUAGAAUGAGGAGUCUCAAAGCAAAUAUGCCUCAUAGACGAAAAGUGACAUACCAAGCACUGAAACCUUCACAAAAGCCAUCACAAAACAGCGAGGCUACAAAAUCGCCAUAGCGACACAAACAACUUGCCGAAGCAACACUGACAAAACAUUAAAACUACAUUAGAAAACAAAAGAACCGAUGACGUGUCCACAAUAGAGAUGUAGGUACAGAAUUGGCAGGAGGCGUGGGUAGCAGAGGCACGUGUAGGAUUGCCGGAGGCACGAGACGCCAACUGUAGUUGGGACAAUGCACAUAGGGGUAGGGCAGAGGGUGGUGCUAUACACACACACUCAUUUUUAUUUUUCACACACCUCUUUUAAUUUUUGGCUGUCGGAUUGAACGAAUUAAAGAUGAUCAAUGAACAAAAAUUAACAAAGUUAUGUGCAAAUCAAUGUGAAAAAACAGUCUCUGUUUAUUGAGUUGGAUAUUUCCUCUUAUGGAUUGGGCUCAGAAAAAUCCUAUUCCUAACGGGCCUAACAGUAUAAUUCCUCUUAUGGAAAAUCCUAAAACAAGAGUCAAACUUUUUCCAUGACGUCAACAGAUAUCCCAUGCACUGUUGUGUGUUCCCACAGUCCAAGGCUUCCAUGGCUACACGCAAUAAGUGACAUGCAAAAAGGCUUGCAUGGUUUCCACGUUUCCAAUGUGUAGUUUCUGUACGUGUAAGCCCCAAAACAAUGCUUAGCUCUUCAAGCGGUACCUCUCCCAAACCGCUUAAAAAUAGAACAUUUCAAACUA